GCAAGAGCGCACCGCGGCGGCGGCAACGUCUCCGGCACGGUAAACCCCACCGGGUGCAAGACCGAAUAGGGGCGGCAUUGAGGCUCGGCUCUCGUAGAGUCGGGAUUCUGGGGCCUGUUCCGGCUCGCCGCCCGGGUUGGUCGCUUGAGGGGCGGAGCAAUCCGUCCUCUAGAGGAAUGGUCGCCCAUCCCUCGCUUUCGCGAGGGUGGACAGAACCCGGCUUACAGGCCCUCUGGCAAA
rnacentral:RNase_P_RNA from 1 species